AUUGAACGCUGGCGGCAGGCCUAACACAUGCAAGUCGAGCGGUAGAGAGAAGCUUGCUUCUCUUGAGAGCGGCGGACGGGUGAGUAAUGCCUAGGAAUCUGCCUAGUGGUGGGGGAUAACGUUCGGAAACGGACGCUAAUACCGCAUACGUCCUACGGGAGAAAGCGGGGGAUCUUCGGACCUCGCGCCAUUAGAUGAGCCUAGGUCGGAUUAGCUAGUUGGUGAGGUAAUGGCUCACCAAGGCGACGAUCCGUAACUGGUCUGAGAGGAUGAUCAGUCACACUGGAACUGAGACACGGUCCAGACUCCUACGGGAGGCAGCAGUGGGGAAUUUUGGACAAUGGACGAAAGCCUGAUGCAGCAACGCCGCGUGAGGGAUGAAGGCCUUCGGGUUGUAAACCUCUUUUAGCAGGGAAGAAGCGAAAGUGACGGUACCUGCAGAAAAAGCACCGGCUAACUACGUG
rnacentral:rRNA from 1 species